rnacentral:rRNA from 1 species
ACGCUAGCUACAGGCUUAACACAUGCAAGUCGAGGGGAAACGGCAUUGAGUGCUUGCACUCUUUGGACGUCGACCGGCGCACGGGUGAGUAACGCGUAUCCAACCUUCCCAUUACUGUGGGAUAACCUGCCGAAAGGCAGACUAAUACCGCAUAGUCUUCGAUGACGGCAUCAGAUUUGAAGUAAAGAUUUAUCGGUAAUGGAUGGGGAUGCGUCUGAUUAGCUUGUUGGCGGGGUAACGGCCCACCAAGGCUACGAUCAGUAGGGGUUCUGAGAGGAAGGUCCCCCACAUUGGAACUGAGACACGGUCCAAACUCCUACGGGAGGCAGCAGUGAGGAAUAUUGGUCAAUGGACGGAAGUCUGAACCAGCCAAGUAGCGUGCAGGAUGACGGCCCUAUGGGUUGUAAACUGCUUUUGUAUGGGGAUAAAGUUAGGGACGUGUCCCUAUUUGCAGGUACCAUACGAAUAAGGACCGGCUAAUUCCGUGCCAGCAGCCGCGGUAAUACGGAAGGUCCAGGCGUUAUCCGGAUUUAUUGGGUUUAAAGGGAGCGUAGGCUGGAGAUUAAGUGUGUUGUGAAAUGUAGACGCUCAACGUCUGAAUUGCAGCGCAUACUGGUUUCCUUGAGUACGCACAACGUUGGCGGAAUUCGUCGUGUAGCGGUGAAAUGCUUAGAUAUGACGAAGAACUCCGAUUGCGAAGGCAGCUGACGGGAGCGCAACUGACGCUUAAGCUCGAAGGUGCGGGUAUCAAACAGGAUUAGAUACCCUGGUAGUCCGCACAGUAAACGAUGGAUGCCCGCUGUUGGUACCUGGUAUCAGCGGCUAAGCGAAAGCAUUAAGCAUCCCACCUGGGGAGUACGCCGGCAACGGUGAAACUCAAAGGAAUUGGACGGGGGCCCGCACAA